rnacentral:lncRNA from 1 species
CAUAGACUAAUUGGUGAAUACAAGUCGCACAAAAGAGCAUCAUGUUGGGACUUCUCAGUUUGCAGUAGGAAACUGGUCUUCAAUCAUCAAAUGUUCGUGGAUCAGUGGAUGUCUCCAGCGGAACAAAAUCCCUUUGUCUUCUUCUUCUCAAUUCUAAGUUCAGACUCGAAUGGCUAAUUGGAUUCUUUUCACCUUCAUUUCUAUAAAUGGGUGUGAGCCCUCUUCUACUCACGAUCCUCAUCACCCUCUCAUUCUUCCCAGGUACGUAAUCAAUCCAUCCUCAACUCCUCCACCUCUGUUUCUUAUUACUGAUCGAACAAACUGGUGUUUACUUGUUGGUUUCUUCGAGUGCAAAAACAGAGUCGACAUCGUUCGAGAUAGUCAACAACUGCAACUACACAAUCUGGCCCGGACUUCGCUCCACGGCCGGCUCAUCACUAAACCUGUCGACCACCGGCUUCACGCUCAAGAGCGGCGCGUCCUUCAACCUCUCCGUCCCCAAAUCCUGGACAGGUCAGGUGUGGGGCCGGACACUCUGCAACCAAUCCUCCACCAGAAACUUCUCAUGCUUCACCGCCGACUGCGGCACCGGAAAAAUCGAGUGCGACAGAAACGGUGGCAGUCUGCCGGCUACCCUAGCCGAGUUCUCUCUCAACCUCACCGGCGGCAUGGACUACUAUGACGUCAGCCUCGUCACCACUGGUGGAGCCGCACGGAGCAGGCAGCAGCAACUGCAGCUCUUCGGGAUGCUCGGUCGACUUGAACGGCUCGUGUCCCAGGGAGCUGAGGGUGGCGCGUGAGGGGAGCCAAGGGACCGUGGCGUGCAUGACGUCGUGCACGGCGUUCAAUAAUUCGUUGUUUUGUUGUACUGGGAGUGUUUUGCCGGAAAAGUGUGCCGGUACCGUAUACACCGAUUUUUUCAGACGGGAAUGCCCACAAGCGCAUGCCUAUGUGUAUGAUCCGAUCCAGACUUCUUCGUACACGUGUGCGUCAGCUAACUACAACAUUGUGUAUUUUUAUUUUUUAGAUAAUGACAAUUUACACAAGAAAAACAGAAACAACUUUAAUGUUAAAACUAUUUUUAAAGAUCAUCCAAAUGAUUCUCAAAAUUUCUUAGGGCUCGAAGUUUAUGUGAAAUGCUCUAAUUAUGUAUUGUAAUACAGUUUUUGUCACUUUGACUGUUUUAGGGUUCAAACUAAAUUGGAACACACCCAACUAGACAAGAACAACUAGGACGACUUGCAUAGUUUAGGUACUUGUACAAUUGUCACGUUUUAUGAUGUUCCAUUCAAGUUUCACGUAUGUUGUGAUGCAUCGUCUGAUUUCUAUGCAUAUUUGUCUAAUAAUACCAAGUGAACCAUAUUUUGAGGAAAAAUUCUAGUAUAACAUAUGGUAUAGUAUGCCUCACAAAAUGUGUGGCUAUCAUUGAUUGUAGAAACAAGUAAAUGAUCAUGUAAUGACCAUUUACCCUUUUAAAAGCUCUCAUGUGUCAUACAAUUAGACACAUUUACAAUAUGUAUGUAAUAUCAUAUGGUAUGAUAGACAAACACCAUUUUGAGAAACCAUAUAAAGCCCAUAUUUUGUUAAGACACAGUCACAUCAUUUAAUGAAAUAUUCUGAUUGAAUAAUGUAAAUGUCACUUAAGCUGAUACCUAAUGUUGGUUCGAGCUAGUUCUUUAAAAUAUGGUUAACUUAUCAUUGCUCUGAAAACAAAUAAAGUUCAUUCAACAUCACAAGUAAGAGCUAGGAACCCCUUGAUUAGUGUUGUGUUUUUGAAAGGGGACAUAACGCCUAAAUCAGUUGAUACACCAGUCCAAGAGCCGAUUGUAUACAAACGGUUCCUUUAGAAAGCAAAAACCACAAAAUAAAAAUUGUCUCUAUAGCAUCAAUUGCUGGGAUUGUCAAAGCACUAUUUGGGGAGAUUGAAUAAAAUUUAGAAUUAAAGAAGUAAUAAUUUUCGAAUUUGGGAGAAAGACCAUCUAAAUAUGUUUUGAGCCAAAAUAUCUUUCUAAUCACGAUUCCAAACCAGCUCUCUUGUCUUAAUCACCGCCAUAACACCUCAGCAGUAAUGAAACUAGAAAUAUUGAAGGCAUGAAGGAAAAACACUGAGAGCAAUUGCACCCAUGGAUGGAGGGCAAUCGCUGAUUUGCCAAUCAAAUUGGUACUGCUAAUCCACUAUUUAUCUAAAAUUGGCAAUUGCAUUUUGCUUGUUCAAUGCACCAAUUGGGCAAUUUACUUGCUAAUUUCAUUAUAAAUUAAUCAAUUCAUUUAUUUAUGAACUAAACUAAACUUAUAGUUUGAUUUGAUUAAUUAUUUUUAAAUUAUAAUAAUGGUACGUUAGUUAAUCUUAAUGAAAAAUUAUCUUAGGUAACAUUUGACAAAAUAAACGGUAAUUUUUAUAUAAAAAAAGGAGAAAGUUGUAGAACUUUGAUUAUGGAGUGUUUACUUCAUUUGUUUGACGGUUAUUCUAUAAUUGUUAGAGGGGAUGGUGGUUCGAGUCACCCCUGAAGCAUACUUUUUCCCAAAUCAAAACCAAUUUCCUUCUCUCCACGUGAUGGACAACCACUUUUAUGUGGAGCCCACCAGAAUUGGUCAGGCAAUUCAAUGGGCGAAAAUUAACAAUCCAAUUGCCCGGGCGGCUGGGUCCCAUGUGGGCCUUAGCAAUUGGUCGGGCAAAACUUUGCCGGUGCGAUGUUUUCUCUCAAUCAACAAAUCAGUCAUCAAAUCGAUCCAUUGGUGCAAAUGCUCUGACAAACUCAUUUUGAAAAUCACAAAAAAGUCUAACAUAACUUGACCGAUCCUUCCCACGCGUCCAAGAACCAUCAAAUCCAUGUUGAUCUUGACCUAACCAUUAAGAUUCACCUAUAAAAAUCUUUGAGGCACGACCCGGCUACGAUUAACGCCAGACAUCUUAAUUCGGUCUAUAUUAUCUGCAGCCAUGACAAAGACAAAUUGGCGUCUUCUUCUUCUUCUCAGUUCUAAUUAACUGGAAUGACUUGGAUUCUCACCUUCAUUUCUAUAAUGGGUGUGAGUCCUCUUUUACUCACGAUCCUCAUCACCCUCUCUUUCUUUUUAUCAGGUAAGCAAUCAAUCCGUACUCAACUCCUCCAUCUAUGUUUCUUAUUCAUCGAACAAACUUGUGUUUAGUGUUUACUUUUGGUUUCUCAGAAACAGAGUCAACAUCGUUCGAGAUAGUCAACAACUGCAACUACACAGUCUGGCCCGCAGUUAUCUCCUCCGGCACAGUAAACCUGUCGUCGCUGUCGACCACCGGCUUCACGCUCAAGAGCGGCGCGUCCUUCAACCUCUCCGUCCCCAACUCAUGGCAGGGUAGGGUGUGGGGCCGGAC